UUGUCGACGAUGCCAACACCCCUACUGGGGAACCUCUUCCGUGCCAGCCGUGCCACCGUCGUACCCGAGUCCGACCCGAGCCAACCUAUGGGUAGUAGGGGGGCAUGGGAUGUCAGUGACAUCUGCGAGGACCACCUUGAGUACCUCCGACACCUCUGCUACCUACCACCACAAUACGCCGCGGAGUCGCGGCUGCCUAGGGCUAAGAACAUCCCAGCACCCAGGUCGGCAAAGUGGUUGUAUUUUAUGAACACUUCGUUGGAAGAUUCGGGCAGCGGGCCAGCACGUUCUUUCGGCGGUUCCUCGCCAGGUUCGAGCUGCAGCCUCACCACCUCGGAGCCAGCUCCAUCUCGCAGCUUUCUGCCUUACUCACACUACGCGAGGGGUAUCUUUGUAUCGAGCCACGGCUUGGCCUGUGGUGCCGCUUCUUCUGCCUCAAGAAGCAGACGGUGGAGGACAAGGCGAGAGGGAUGAAGCAAAUGACUGCCCGCGGGGCGGCCCUUGUAUACAACCGGCUCGGAGCUGGCUUCCUCAAGCUGCUGCUUCACGAGUCGCUGAAGAACUGGCAGGCUCAUUCUUCUACGUGAAGAACAUGGAUCAGGCACUAGAUCUCAUCAAUCCGUCCCCUUCCUCAACCAGCCCCCGACUGCGCUGCUCCAUUGGGGUGAGAAUCUGCAGCAGGCCAUCAAGGUGGUGAACUAGGCGGUCGACCUGCUCUGGGUGCUGACAGGCGUAGACGGCCUCAAGGCCUUCGGCCUCAUCGCCACCAUGAUAGUACAUCGGGUCCUACCGCCGCAGUGGCGCCCGCAUCGCCUCUAUAAUCAUGUGGGGUAGGCACUACCUAUUCCGAAUCUCCACGAAGGAGCUGAACCAUGUCGCCAUCAUGCGGUAGGUUAACCUGAUCACCACCACCCAGCUAGUGGAGGUGGGGUGGAACUUGGGCAAGGCCCCUUACCACUAGAUGCAUCCGCUACCCAAGGGUUGUAGAACUACAACCAGACAACGGUCGACAAAGAGGACGCGAACACUGAGGAGCCGGUGGACCACGAGGAUGUGGAGCCGGCGGGCAACGAGCCGGUGGAUGAAGAGGUGGUGGGCAACAUUCUGAUGGACGAGGAGCUGGUGACCGUGUAGUCGGAGGGCUAGGAGGCCCCCAGUGGAGGAUCGAGAGCCGGCGACCUGAAACUAGACGGCGAGUUCCCCUCUUCCAAUCACUUGCAAGACUAGACACACGACGGUGACUCUGAUGUCUGAGAAGUUCAUGAUGCAGUGUGGGCACAGGCCAUGCAGAGGGAUGACCUCGAGGCGAGGGGUCGACUCUGCAGAUGGUCCCCGAGCCAGUGCCCGAGGGUUCGGUGGUGUCCGAGCACGCGCAAGGGAAACUUUUGGCCGCUCCUAGGCCAGCAACCAAGCGAGAGACCGGUACGCAUCCCCACGGCGGCAACGGAGGAGGCCGGAAGAAAGCAUGCAUCACCUCCUCGGGAUCGGUGCGAAGGCGCGCGAUCCCUACGACCGUCAGGGCCCCAUGUGCCCUAGGAGCGGAGGCUGAGGCGGGUAUAAGUGGCACUAGCGAUGCGCUCUGGGGAGGCACGAUUGUCUUGGAGGAGCGGGAACAUGCCGCCUGGCGGGAGGAGGAGACCGCCAAGCGACAUGGUCGAAGGAGCAGCGCCACUAGUGGGAGAACGUGGCAAGGGAGUCCGAAGUCGCGGUGGGGGAAUACCCCAUCCAUGUCUUUGUCACACGCGGGAGGGUGAGCUGAGACUGACGCCCAUGCCACGACACAGAGGCACGCUCUGUCUGAGGACAUGCCAGACAUGGAGUCCCCCUUGAGGCAUGAGGGUGACCGUGCGGAGGACCCCGAUGCGAGGUAGGGUGACGAUGAGGCUGAGAGGAGCGGAGUUGGAGGCAGCAGCGGCGCCUCGGACAUUAUAGUGCAGGAGCCGCCAGUGGUUCAUGCAAUCGGCUCCGUGCAGACGCUGCCGGGACCCAACGUCGGUGCAUCGAGCAGUGUGCCGCCGUCCUGCACCGGGCCCCUUUUUGGGAUGCUGGGGCUGCCGACUCACAGCGGAGCCGGAGCCGGCUUCUGGGCCUAGCUGCAGGAGUCGUGGGCGGUGGCGAGGGAUGCCACUAGCAGGAGUGCCGUGAGCAUGCACGCGGUCUAGUCCGAGUUCACCGACUGCGAAGCGCAGGUGAAGCUCGAUGCGUAGAGGGUGUUGGGCAGGCGGACUCACCUGGACCAGUCCGUGGUGAAAAUCCGUGUGACGAGGGAAUCAGAGCGGAAGACCUCGA